ensembl:lncRNA
GUUUCACCAGUAUCAUUUGAAUGAAUAUACUUAGGUGUCCAUUUGAAUGCCUGCUGGUAAGGUGAAUGACUAGUGUUUUAUUUGUUUUUUUCACCAGUAUAAUUUGAAUGAAUAUACUUAGGUGUCCAUUUGAAUGCCUGCUGGUAAGGUGAAUGACUUGUGUUUUACUGGUUGCAUUUGGGUGCCACUCUGUGGGAUCCGCCUGGCAGCAGAGUUGGCAUUCUGCCUGUGUGAGGGUAGGAUUUCAUUAGGGCAGUCGAAGGACAACACCAGUCUUCCCCAGACCUGUCUCACUGUACACAGUGCAUAGGGCAUGUGUGUUUUUAUGUGUGUGUGUGUG